AUGGGGAAUGGGUCACAUGCUUCUGUUCGUGGCAUUGGCACGGUGGAUCUGAAGUUUACUUCGGGAAAGAUCGUGCAACUAAGGAACGUGCAGCAUGUCCCUACUAUGAACAAGAAUCUAGUUAGCGUCUCCCUUCUAUGUCGAGAUGGUUUUAAGGUAGUUUCAGAGUCCAAUAAAGUAAUCGUGUCAAGAUUUGGACAAUUUAUAGGAAAAGGCUAUGAGUGCGGAGGCUUGUUCCGCUUUUCUCUUUCAGAUUUUUGCAAUAAGUCAAUAAACCAAAUUUGUGCUAGUGUUAAUGAUGAUGCAAGUAUUUGGCAUUCUCGUUUAUGUCAUAUUAAUUUUGGUUUAAUGUCUCGGCUAUCCAGCAUGAGUUUAAUUCCGAACUUCACAGUUGCCAAAGGUUCUAAGUGCCAUAGUUGA
rnacentral:rRNA from 1 species